rnacentral:rRNA from 1 species
AUUGAACGCUGGCGGCAUGCCUUACACAUGCAAGUCGAACGGUAACAGGUCUUCGGAUGCUGACGAGUGGCGAACGGGUGAGUAAUACAUCGGAACGUGCCCGAGAGUGGGGGAUAACGGAGCGAAAGCUUUGCUAAUACCGCAUACGAUCUCAGGAUGAAAGCAGGGGACCGCAAGGCCUUGCGCUCACGGAGCGGCCGAUGGCAGAUUAGGUAGUUGGUGGGAUAAAAGCUUACCAAGCCGACGAUCUGUAGCUGGUCUGAGAGGACGACCAGCCACACUGGGACUGAGACACGGCCCAGACUCCUACGGGAGGCAGCAGUGGGGAAUUUUGGACAAUGGGCGCAAGCCUGAUCCAGCCAUGCCGCGUGCAGGAUGAAGGCCUUCGGGUUGUAAACUGCUUUUGUACGGAACGAAAAGACUCUGGUUAAUACCUGGGGUCCAUGACGGUACCGUAAGAAUAAGCACCGGCUAACUACGUGCCAGCCGCCGCGGUAAUAC